CAUAGCCUGGCAGUCACAUGUCACUGCUGCAAGCUGUCAGCUUCCUCUCCUUCUGGACUGUUGGAAUUGGAUUGUCAAAAUUGGAGCAGUCUGAUGUAUCUGUUUCUGCAGAAAUAAAGAAAAGUGUUAACAUAAAUUGCAAGAUAUCCAGCACACAAUUUUGAAACUGAAGUCAUUCACUGGUACUGGAAGAAACGAAUAAGACUUUUGAGCAUCUGAUUCAAGUUACCUCAACAAAAUCCGCAGCUCGAGGUCCCUUGAAUGGGAUGAACAAUAAAAUUGAGGCAAAAAAGUAUUCUCAAACUCUGUCUUCAGUUCUUACCAUAUAUUCCAUACAAAAAGAAGAUGCAGCCAUGUACUACUGUGCAGGGUGGUAAUAUAGCCAAGACUGGAUGAAGAUAUUUGGAGAAGGUACAAAGCUCAUAGUUUCUCCCUCCGAUAAAAUCUCUGAUGCAGACCUUUCCCCCAAGCCCACGAUUUUUCUUCCUUCAGUUUCUGAAAUAAAUCUCCACAAGACUGGGACACAUCUUUGUCUUCUUGAAAACUUCUCCCCUGAUGUUAUUAAGGUAUUUUGGAAAGAAAAGGGUGGUGAUAGGAUUCUGGAAUCCCAGCAGGGAGAUACCAUGAAGACUAACGACACAUACAUGAAGAUGAGCUGGCUAACUGUGACUGAAGAGUCAAUGGAUAAAGAGCACAGGUGUAUCGUCAAACAUGAGAAUAACAAAGGAGGAGGCAAUCAAGAGGUUCUCUUUCCUGCAAUAAAGAAAGAUGUCACCAGGACUGAAGCUUGCUCUAAAGAUGAAAACAGUACACUGAGACUGCAGCUCACAAAUACCUCUGCCUACUACACCUACCUCCUCCUGCUCCUCAAGAGUGGGAUCUACUUGGCCAUCGUCACCUAUUGUCUGCUAAGAAGAACAGCUGUCUGUAGCCAUGGGAAGAGCUCCUAACAGAGAGUGGAACAACAGGGUCAUGUUGUGUUCUUCGUUUAUUGUCUAGUAGAGUGUCUGCUGAGGAGCUGUGUGGGCUUGCUUGCUAAACGUGGGCUUCUUAAUUUCUUAUGUGUAUUACUUUGUCCUUACUGCAGGAGGGUUUCAAACUCACUCAGGUACUCAGGAACUUCACUGUAACAACAAAAACUAACCUAUGGUGGCCCCUAAUUCCUUUGUCUCCACAGUCCCCAACAGCCCCUCCAGCCAGCCCAAAUCAUGGCAGCUUUGGUGAGGACAGAGUGCUGCUUCUAGUCAUGCCCUUAGUGCCUUUUAAGCAGAGACCAUCUUAAAGUGUUCCAUUCUAAACACCCCAAAGCAGCUUCUUUGCUACUUUAUUUUAGACUUUUCAUAAUAGACACAAUAUAUUUUUUAAAACUUGAAUGUCUACAUUUGUUCAUGCAUAUUUCAAUAUGAUGAAAUUGAAUUGAAAGUCCACUGCGAGAAACAAAUAAUAAACAUUCUAAUUGGGGUGAGAUGAAAUCAUAAGGUAUUUUCGAUUUACAUUUUUCUUAUUACUAGAGAUGUUGAACAUUUUUUCAUAUAUCUGUUGAUUGCUU